GCUGGUGGCAGUAAUGCAUCAAAUUUCUAGGAAACUCAAGAAGAUGACAGACUCUCCAUUAUGCAUCAGAGGCUCAGUAAAUGGACUGAGGGCGGUACAUGGGCGUACCGUCUGAGGCUGAGAUUAUCGUGAACUCCUCUGCUUCAUCUUUAACUUCAUCGCAGCAAGAGAUAUCCAACCUUGAAAGGACAUAUUCUGAAUGCUCAAAGUGGAAGCGCGCAGCAGAAGUGAAGUCAUUGAGCUCUUCUUAAAUGGAACCACUAAAAGCUUGACAGGGGCUUCUUGUCAUUGCUGGACGGGACAUACAUCUCGUCAAGGACUUUCAUAUAAGAAAAGCAAGAAAGUCAUACAAGUUGGACUGACAAGAGGGUGACUACAUGACGGCAGUAUUUUCAAUUGUGGGUGAACUGUUCCUUUAACAGGUCGUGGUUGGUUAAACUCAUUUUUUUUUCUUGAUUUAACAAGUACUUCUGACAUGGAGUGAGUGAAAACCAUUUAUGUAUUGGAAAAAACACAUUAAGAGAUGUGGCUUGAGGAACAUUUAAUUCAAGGCAGAGCAGAAGAUUGGUAUCUGUGUGUGUGCGCCUGUGUGCACCUGUGUCCUCAUGUCAGUCCACUAUCACUGUCUGAGUAAGACAGGCUUUAAAUGAAUAGUGCCCUGGAAUGG
ensembl:lncRNA